ACACCCACCUCCCUGCUGUUCCUCACCCAGGAUCACCAAGGUCUCUCCUACCCCGGGGCCUGUGCACCUGCUGUGCCUCUGCUUGGGGUGCUCUUCCCAGGGCUUGCCCACCUCCUCAGAGAGGCCUCCUGACCCCUGACACGGCCUUGCCCUUCACCUCUAUCGUCCUUUAGAACAGCCCCCACCUCCCGCACAUCAUGCAGUUGCAGGUUCAAUGGCUACUGCUUGUCCUCCAGACUCGUGAGUAACUCGUGAGGUGGGGCGGGGCGGGGGCGGGGGCGGGGGCGGGAGGGGUGGGGGUGUUUUGUUCCCUGCUCUGUCCCGGCACUCAGAGCAGUGCCUGGCAGGGGUGGGUACUCAGUACACACCUGUUAGCAAGUGACUCCGAUGCAGGGACCGUUCUCUCUAAUCUCCAAGUCCACCUUUCUUAUACUAAGGAUUUUCAGUGUUUUUUCAUGCACCAUCCAAUCUUUUUUGACUCUUAGAUCAUAUGCCUCAGAGCCCAUCUGGGUACAAAAACACCCGUUUUCAAAAAAGGAACCAGAAAGUGGUUUCAUCUCGCUUUAGGAUGUGAAUGAAAGCCUCUCCUUCCGUCUCCCGAGAAGGGACUUUCAGAAGCUGCAGGUGCCCAGGUCCAGGCCCCACGCUGUGGCCCCGCAGGGACUGUACUCACUCUUUAUUUUUCUCUUUUCCAGCUCUCCACAAGCCAACAGCUCUCUCCUGGCUUUGAUUUUCAACCAUUUAAGUUGAAAAAAAUUCAAAACAAAUGAAAUGCACUUAAGAGAAAGCCUUGAGGAGUUCAGCAGGCCACCCAAAGUGAAGGGACUCCUUUGGGGGUCUUUGUUGUUAUCAAUUAUUUAUUGAGCCCUGAUGUGUUCCUGGCGCCACCAAGACCGAAAGGAGACAGGGUCCCUGCCCUGGGGCAUCCCAACAAAGAAGGGAGAGUUUGUGAAGCUUAAAAAUGUCCCAGAUGGUAAAACAGUUACACGUCAUACCUCAAGGCUGCUCUAUACUUUUAUUAUAGUUUUAUUCUUAAGGCUGUUUAUUUAUUUUCUGAUGUAAAAGUGACUCUGGUGGCCAGGUGCAGUGGCUAACACCUGUAAUCCCAGCACUUUGGGAGGCAAGCCGGGCAGAUCACGAGGUCAGGAGAUGGAGACCAUCCUGGCCAACAUGGUGAAAACCCAUCUCUACUAAAGAUACAAGUUAGCUGGGCGUGGUGGCACGUGCCUGUAAUCCCAGCUGCUCAGGAGGCUGAGGCAGGAGAAUCACUUGAACCCAGGAGGCAGAGGUUGCAGUGAGCCUAGAUUGCGCUGCUGCACUCCAGCCUGGUGACAGAGUGAGACUCUGUCUCAAAAAAAAAAAAAUGACUCUGGCUCUGGCUCUAUAUCUAAGGGGUCAACUGCACCAUUGUCACCACAAUGCCAUUUUCUGGAAGGAAAAGCUCUAUCUGACUUCACAGUCCUUAGGAGCCUUGUUAUGGAACCUGGUGGACAAACCAUUUUAACUGGACAUGAUGUUGCUUUUUAAUCAAUGACUCCUGAAAUUUUAGGUGAGUAUGAGUCUGGAGUUUUAGAUUACAAACAACAGGAAGCCAAUUCAACCCAGCUUUUUAAAAGAAGAUUUCUAAUUAAAUGUGUUGAUUCUGUUAGCAGAGAACUCUGGGGGCAGUGUGGGUUGCAGGCAUGGGUAGAUCCAGGUGUCAAAUGACAUUCUCAGGACCCAUGCUCUCUCCAUCAUUGGCUCUGAUUGCUCAGGUUUGGGCUCCAUUCUUGGGCCACUCUCUUGCUCUGCAGCAAGAUGGUCAAUGGCAGCUCUAGGCUCUCACCCUCAUCUUCACAUCUCUAAGUCCAGAACAAAGAGCUUUCCACACCUGCUACAGAUCUGGGAGAAGAUGAUCCUAUCUUUCUUGAACCUGAGGCUAGUCCUUACUCCUCCCUAAGUUCUAACAUAUUUACUUAAAACAAGGCACUAAUGAAAUGACUAUAUAAGUGCCCCACUGCCUCAGUAGGCAAAAAAUGUGUUUUUAUAUAUAGCUUAUUCUAACAGUAUUCAAACUGUGGCUUGAUCUUACUGAGCUCCAGUGGCCAUAGAGAAUAUGAUUCUUUCAGAUGUUUUCACAACAACUUUUACAGCAACUAUCUUUACACCUGCCUUCCCUUUCUCCUCAUCAGAUCAAUUAGUCUGGUUUCUUCUAUUUCCUGCUUACUUUCCGUUCCCCCAUUACUGAACUUCUGAUUGAAGAAAUAUACAGGACUGGGCACUGAGGCAUUGAGGAUGCUUUCAAGUUAGCAGUAAAGAAAUACCCACAGGGUCAUCCUGCCAUCCCAACAAUUGUCUUCUUUCUGCUAGGAUAGGCCUCAUCACUCCUCAGAUGAUUCUCGAAGGAUAACACACAGGCCAGUGGGCAGCCCUAGGCCAGGGGGAUUACCAAGACAUGAAGACUUUCUUUCUGUCUCAGCAACCUUCAUGCUUGGUCAAGCAAAGGUGUUGCUUAAGUCAAACCCAGGGCAGGGGAGAGCAGUUGAAGCAAAGUGAGUCUUUGGAGGCCCUGUGGUUGUGGGGUCUGGUGUGGAGACAGUGAGAACGGAAAAGGUGGGAGAGGAGCAGUCAACCCGUGAAUGGCCCCAUUCAGACGCCUUUACCUGGAAGACGUGGCAGGUGAGCAGCAAGUGAGCGGGAGAGUGGGAGAGAGAAUGAGGAAGUGAGGGAGAGAAUGGAUGAGUGAGCACCUGCUUGGAUGAGCCGACACCCACCAGGGAUCAUGAGAACACCGAACAGCUGAGGCACGGUGGCGUCUCUCAGCAGCCUCCCCAGGCCUGUGCCCCUGGGUCCUGACAUGAGAGCUGAUGACCAUUUAUUAUCACUGGUGAUGUCAAGAGGUGGCUUGGAAUGGUUGUAACCGUCUGUUCAUUUUCAUCUCACCUCCACAUCCACCACAAAUACACAGUGACGUUGCUCUGCAAAAGCAGCAGCACACAGCCCCCCAGAAGCCCCUUCCAGGUAAUUGCCAAAAGUUUCUUCCAUAUGGAAAUUCUGUAGUUGUGUGACCUCAGGCUAGUUACACAACCUCUCUGAGCUUUGCCAUCGUCUUCUGUCCUAUGGUAAGAAUGAUACUGAGGUACUAGGGAGCUGUGAAGCAUAUGCUGUGAGACAACACAGCUGAGCAGCCCAGCCAGAGCCCCCUGGGGAAGCCGUCAGAGGUCAGCAGCUCCCGUCUCCUUCCCUCUUGACUCCUAAUAGUCUAGGACAGAACUUUGCCCUCCCUUCUUCCUGUCCCAAAGAUGCACAAUGAUAAUGAUGCUGAUGGUUAUUUAGUAAGAAACUUCCCAACAGGAACAGUCAUCAGGAGGGGGCACAGUUGGAUUCUCUCCAGUGAAGAUGUCAGGAUGGACAGAAAUGUCAGCGUAAUCCAAAGAGGACACAAACACCCCUGCUAUUUUCUUGUCACCAGGAAAAGGCCAGCUCUAGGUUUGAUGAAUGUUUAGUGAAAGAAAGUUUGCAAAAGUAGAAAAGAAACUGACAUAAUGGUAGCCAAACAGGCUUUCUCUGCAUUAGAAGAGCUAAAUAUACCCUUGCAUGUCUGAUUAGAGAAAAACAAAACAAACAAGCAAAAGCUCCUCCGAUGCACAGAGGUACUGCUCCAUUGAACUAGACCAGAAGAGCUUGGGCCUGCCCCUUGGGAACAGGGGUCAACAUGAUGCGGUGGGCAGGGACCCAUCAUCUGACAAGAAGAUGCCCUGAGGGCAAUGGAAAGCACGGUGUGUCGGGAGAAGAUGGCCCUGAGGGCAGGUGCAUUCAGGUGCUUGUGAACGCUGCAGCAUGUUGGGUCUCUAGUUUUGUAUCAGUCAGCUACUCUCACAACAAUGCUGUGUAACAAACCACCCCAAACUCAGUUGCAAACAAUGAUAUUUAUUUCUCAUUCUCAUGUCCACAGGUCUACUGGGGUUCAUCCCAUCUGAGCCAGGCCUGGCUUUUCUUGGCUGCAAGCUGAGAGCUGGGUCCAGGUCUGCUGAACCAAGGUUCUCCCAUCUUCCUUGAGCCAGUGACAAUCAGAGGCCUAUUUCUUUCAUGACGGAAGGCAGGAGAACAAGCAGGCAAGACCAGCUGUGCUAGCACAUGGCACCCCUUUCCCACAUCACACCUGCUAACAUCCCAUUGUUCAAAGCAAGUAACACAACCAAACCCAAUAUCAACAGGACAAGAAAACAGACUCCACCUCUAGGUGCACAAACUACAGAGUCACGGACAGAGAACACAGAUCUAGGGAAGGAAGCUGGAGAAUGAGAACAAUGACCCUCAAUAACACAACCUCCCACAGGUUUCCAAAUCCCCAACCUGAGCAUAUUUCCAAGGAAACGGAAUCAUGGGUUCAGGGUUUUAGAGCAAGCAAUUUCUGCUCUCCCAGCUUAGUUUCCAUACCCUUAACACAGGGGCAAUGACGUCGCAUCGAAUCAUAUCUUAUAAGUCUGUGAUGAUGUUUCAACAACUGAACGCCAGAAAAGUGCUUAGAGCAAGGCCAGGUAGGAGGGACAGAAGCCAAUAAUAAUGAGUAGCAUCACUGUUAACCCGCAAAAUUCUGGGAAUUUCCUCGAAAGUCUAAUUAGAGAAUCAUGUCCCCAACAAUUAACAGUUAUUUUGUUUUUUUUUUCUUUGAAUCUGAGAAAAUACUAAUUGUCACAGGGUAGAAUAUUUAUCUGAUGAGCGUAUAGAAGUUAAGGGCUCUUUGGAGUCACGGUGCUGGGUUUGGGUCUCAUUCCUCCUCCUACCUGCCUUUCUGAGCCUUGGUUCCUCAUGUGUAGAAGGGGUACAAUCCCAACCUCAUGUGUUUGUGGCAGUCGGGGUUAAAUGGGCUAAUGAUUCUGAAGUGCUCCGCGCAGGCCUGGCAGGUGCUGAGCAACCUCAGGCCAUAGAGAGAGCACUGAUUUUGGAGUCAGGAGCUGGGACCUCAGGUCCUAUUCCCUGGGGAUCCGGGAAAAGUCCCUUGGCUUCCCUGAGCUUCAUCUGCCCCACGUGCUAGUGAGGUGGCUGGACCAGUCAGGCUAAGGACGUCCCUGCAGCUAUCUAACUUCCCCUUACUCCCUGUUCAGCAAAGGGCAGGAGCUGGGCCUGGCCAGGCUCCCACAAAGCCCAGGCGUGGCCGUGCUCAGCUCACGGACGGGUGUGGGGGAUGCGUUUCUGCCCUCAAAGGACUGAGCUCCAGUUUCUUUCUUCACUGAGUCCUUUACUCUCUGCCUGCGGGUGGUUAUUUAAGACAUCUCCCGCCUGCAGGGGCCUCUUAGAGAACAAACAGAUCGUUCCUUCAGCUGCAGUGCAGGCUUUACUGGGCUUGUUCCUGCAUCAAGUAGACAGAUCCUUCCUGAAUAGAGUCGCCCCACAGGCCCCACACCCAGAGAGGGGCAGCCAGGAGCCUCCGAGGCGGGCUCUGCCCAGCUCUGCCUUGAGCUCUGCCUGACUGCAGAGAAGGAAAGUUCUCUUCUUGCAACCUCAAAUCUUCCAGAUAAGAACCAAACGACAUCCGGCCUUUGCGUUCUCUCCACCAGCUCCCGGCUCACCCACCCAGCAGCUCAGCACCUGCGAAAUCCGUCUCCCGAUGCACACUUGCUAACCGCGUGGGUGUGAGCACAACGAUGGGAAACAGCGGAAGUCCCCGGAGUGCAGACUCAGGAGUGAACCUGCCUGAAGAGUGGCGUCUAACGCACACACUGUGGUCAGCUCCACCCCACUAUGGGUCCCGGGAAUAGGAGCAAGUAUGUAUUUUGCUUGCAGGGCAGGUGUUUCAUCCACAUUAUUGCAGGAACAGAUGAAUUUAAUUAAAAGAACACCACAGUGGGCACCUCUUCCAGGGAUGUCUCCCUCUAAGAACAUGACACUGAGAUGAUCAAGGUUCUAAAAGGGCGAUCAAAUUACUCUCCGAAAAUGAAACUGCUCAGACAGAAUGACAAUUAAAUUAAUAACAACCAAGACAAUGCCCAGAUUUCAUCUCCGCUCACAGCCCCUCCUGUGUGCUGUAUGAUCAGGUUCUUGGGGUGGCUCCAGAUACAGCAAACAGUCAGGAUUAAUCCACAAGAGUGAGCUGUCAGCAUGAGGUUCCCCUACAGUGGAGCUUGCCAAGGUCCGUGCCUCCCAGGGCACCCGUUCCAGGGCUAACAGAUGAAGCAUGGAAAUGCUGUGUGGAGUGAGCUAAGCAGCCGUUCUCAGGAGAAAACAGACAAAUCCUCCUGCAUCCUGGCAAACCAGCUUUGUGGCCUGUUUUAUGUCAUCUUUGCUGAGCUCCACCGGGUCACCCCUCCUGUUGGCUUUGUGAUACUGACAUUUCAGGCACUGGCACAGAUACAUUGGCCUUCCUGGCUGGGAUUUCACGGACGGAGUGAGCAGUGCUGGCUUGGAGGAGCCGUGGCGGCACAGGGCCUGUGCUCUCAGCUGAUCAACGCCUUGAUAGCCAGGAAAGGCCUGUCCUACCCCAAAGGGCCCUCGCAGCACUGUUUGAAAUUGCUCUUGCCAUCUUUGGAAUGGAUUCCUCAGUACAUUUCAGACUCGUUGUUGUGACUUUGGUUUUAAUCCAGGGACACACCGUGGCCAGUGGAGUGUCUCAACAGCAUCUAUGAUCGCUGUUUCCCAGAGACAGCAUCUCAGAUACCGAUGCUGAAAGAGAAACAGCAGCCUGUCCCCAAGUGGCAGGAAAUAGUCCAUUUUAAUGGCAAUUUCAUAAGUGGCAGAUGAUUUUUAUUGUAAUUUUCUGGUGAGCUGAUUAAGUGGAGGCAGAGUCAGUUCUGAGGCGUCAAUGUCUUUAACAAUUCGGGGAGACGGAGGCCACGCUCAGCAGGAACACUGAGUCCAUGGAAAACAGGCCCUGGGCCCGCUGAUGUGCAUAAUUCCACGUUUGCCCCUCAUGUAACCAGGAUGGUAAAUUACAGGUGUCAGAUAAUCACGCUCUGGAGUGGCUACUUGAGGAUGCGAUCGACCAAUUUAAGCUCCGUCUGACACAUGAUCAAUAGCCCGUGAUGCUGCAUGGAAUUGCAGGCACAGUGUCCAAACCUGCAGAGCAGUGGCUCCCAGCUGGGGCAACUUUGCCCCCCAGAGGACAUUUGGCAAUGUCUGGAUAUGUUUGCAAUUGUCACAACUAGGAAAGGAGGUACCCAUAGGAUACACAGGAAAGUCCUCACACAGUUGUAUCCUGCCCAGACUGUCCGUAGAGCCAGGGUGAGAUGCUCUGACAGAGCCACAGUGAACAUUGCAUUCCAUCAUCUGGGUAUCUCCAGGAAUGUAUGUAGCUGGAUGUCUGGCUUUUCAUCUGGGUUUCACGAGCCUCCUGCAGAACUGAAACCAUGUGCAAAUCAGUUCUCAUACUUGCUCUCCUGCCUCCUUCCUAUUGUAAUUUUUUCUUCCCACCUUUUUUAUUGUUACUAGAGAAAUGAUGAAGAAAAAGAAUAGGCUGGAGAGUCACUCAAAAUUUUGUUUUCCUCAAUUAAAAAGAAGUAAUUUAGAAGUUACUCAAUGAUGUUUUCUUUAAUUAAAAAAAAAAGUAGUUUGGGAAAGCAGAAAAUUAAUGAAGACAGAAAACACAGGUUUCAUGAAAAAGUUCAGCAUCCCAGGAAAGGAGCAAAGAGAAGUCUGCAGAUGAGAGUUGCUCAGUGUCAGGACUCAGAAAACAAUACCCCAAGAUAAUGUUCAAACCUGAGUGCUUUGAACAAAGGAUAUUGAAAGACCUCAGAAGAGGGCCUCAGAACUCACAUGUCUCUCUGACCUUCUCCUGUCUCUCCUUCACUUCCAAAGCAUGAUCUUUGGCCAGGGGAUCUCUCUGGGAUUCCCUUAUCUGCCUGAGGGAUGUACUUCCAAAAGAAAUGUGACUGGCAUGACCUCCUCCCUAGGAAUCUCUUCAAACAGCCGGGAAAGACUGGUCACCUGAGAGGAGAUUGGAAGUCCUCACUGCACUCAGAAAGGCUGUUGUCCAUUCUUCUAGAGACUUUAUCUGAAUAACAAGGCAACUUUUGUUUACCAUUCAGUUCCUCCCCUUUCCUUUCUAACUUGUCACCACCUCCCCCAAAAGCCUCAAGCCUCCACUCCUACAAGCUAUAAAGACUUCAACCAUCUGGCUUCUCCAUGAGUCUCAUGUUUUGUGUGGCUCUUAGGCAUAUGUGCAUGGUAAUACAUGUGUAUGCCUUUCCUCCGGGUAAUCUGUUUAUUGUCAGUUUAAAGCAGCCACAGAGUUAAAGACGGAAGCCUUCAGAAGGCUUUCCCUUUGCCCCUGCAUCCAUCACCUGAGAGCCCACCCAUGACAGACUUGAACUAUGGACAGAGGCUGCAGUCAAUAGAGCCCAGGGUGAGACUGACUACAGGAGAAGCUGGGCCUUGGGGGAUAAGCCCAAGCUUCUCAAUUCUCAAACUGCAGGUUAAGCCUCUAUAAUGGAGCCUGAAUUCCAUUCAGUGAGUCUUGACCAGCAUUUUAAAAUGUGAAAUAACAGAACUCAGUAGAAAAUAUCAAAGGGCAUUACUUAUAGUGAGGUAAGAAUAUUCUGCGAAAUUUUAGUUUUAUAUUGAGUGUGUGUGUGUGUGUGUGCACGCGCACGCCAGGCCUUGUUGUAAAAUAUACUUCUUAUAAUGGGUUGUGUUCAAAACAGCUUGUAAAAUAUGGGAGCAGAUGAAAUGAUGGAGGAUUUGGUAAGAACUAAAUAUUUGUAAGCAAAUUUUGCAGUGAAAAGAACAAGGAAAUUAUUAAUUCAAGAGAAAUCAAAAGUAGUAUAAGAAAGAAAAUGCAACCAUAUUGCCAUACUUGGCUCUGCUGUAAAUAACAUCUACUUGGCCACAUGACAUAAAUGCUGAUUAUGAUGAUGUCAUUGAAAACGGUAAUUUAGCCAUGCAGGAGGCUGUGAGUUAUGGUGGCAAGUGGAGGAAGAGAGCUAAUCCCUCCUCUGGGGGCCGGCAUUGAGAGAUCACAGAGCAACUUGAAUCCCCGUGAAGCACUUGCUCUUACAAGAUUUGGAAGAAACUUGCACAAACAGUAAAGUGUCUUUACUUGUGGAUGUCUCUGGGAAAAGAUGGGCAGGGAACAGAAAGAUUCAACGGUGUUUGAUUUGGUGACCAUAUAUCUCUUUAAUUUAAAAAGGGAUCAUUCAGGACCAGUGAGGCCAUGGUGGUGUUCAUUGGAAAGAGCCCAGGGACCCAGGUGGCUCUUGGCUCCAUCACCUAGAACCCCAUGCCCUUGAACGAGUCCCUCUCCAGCUUUUGACACCAGUUGGCCAACCUCUAAAACAAAGAGGCCAGGCCAAAUUAUUUUGACUUGUCCUUGGAGCCCUGUGAGUCUGUCUCACCACGGAGUGACUUGGGAGUCUGGGUACCACCCACCCUGACUCCAUGUCAAAUACCGUGCACAUCUCAAGCACAGUGCCUGGCUCAGCACAGGCAGCAGGAAAGCUGUGUGGGUGUGCAUCAGGGUUGGUGGACACAGUAGACAGCCUUUGCUCUCCCAAGAUGGGGGAGGUCCGGUACCAUGACUUAGGGAACUGCUGGUUCCUAACCAACCCCCCCACCCACCCCGGACAGUAGUGCAGAAAGGAUGCUUUCCUAAUCAGCUAAUUUUCACAAAAUGUGGGAUGCCCUGGUGGGAUCCCGUGGUAGGAGAGUAGAUGACUUCCAGGAGCACAUAGAGGGGGCAGAGGCUGCGGGCUGACCCUUGAUACCCCUCAUCCCCUUCAUUUAACAUUAGAAAUCCCAAAGUUUAGUUGCCUGGACCGGAACUGAAUUUCCCAUCCUGCCUUGCAGCUGGUGUGUACCUUCCCAGUGUACCCUUAAAUGCAUGAGUACGCCCCACUUACCCUUUUCCUCUUCCCUCCUGCCUGAUGUGACUUGCACCUCCUUGGACCAGGUGGACAAGAAAAGCCUCCGUCAAUGACAGAGCCCAAGAUGGGCAGGUCGAGGAUCAGCCCCGGGAGCCGCCCAACUAGCUCGCCCCUCGCCCCCGCCCC
rnacentral:lncRNA from 1 species